UUUCCAGACUCCUACGGGAGGCAGCAGUGAGGAAUAUUGGUCAAUGGGCGCGAGCCUGAACCAGCCAAGUCGCGUGAGGGAAGACGGUCCUAUGGAUUGUAAACCUCUUUUGUCGGGGAGCAAAAGACGCCACGCGUGGCGUUCCGAGAGUACCCGAAGAAAAAGCAUCGGCUAACUCCGUGCCAGCAGCCGCGGUAAUACGGAGGAUGCGAGCGUUAUCCGGAUUUAUUGGGUUUAAAGGGUGCGCAGGCGGAGGUGCAAGUCAGCGGUCAAAUUGCGGGGCUCAACCCCGUACUGCCGUUGAAACUGGCAGUCUCGAGUUGGAGAGAAGUAUGCGGAAUGCGCGGUGUAGCGGUGAAAUGCAUAGAUAUCACGCAGAACUCCGAUUGCGAAGGCAGCAUACCGGCGCUCAACUGACGCUGAAGCACGAAGGCGUGGGUAUCGAACAGGAUUAGAUACCCGUGUA
rnacentral:rRNA from 1 species